ACCGAGGUAGCAAAGCCUGGUAAAUGCUGAAGGCCUAAGCCCUUUAAUCAGAGGUUCAACUCCUCUUCUCGGCU
rnacentral:tRNA from 1 species